AGAAAAGUUUCCCUGAGUCUUCAUUAGCUGACUUCUCUGUCCACUGCUCCCCCAGCCGACCAAGCUCACCCCCAAUAAAGGAAGGAGGGGGGGUUCUUUAUUUUUUUUUAAGGCCCCAAAGAGUCCAGGGUUUACAAGACCAGAAAUGCCAUGGCCGCGUCCUGGCAGAAAGAGAGGCCGAAAUGGAGGACCGACGCCUUCCUUAUAAGUCUUCUGAUCUUUUGAAUCCCAGAAGCAAGAAAAUAUAUUUUCAAUACUCUCCCAUCCUCACCCCAACUAUCUCCACAGCCCUAGCCUGGCUUCUGCCCCAUCCAGCUCACUGGGCUGAGCCAAUACCAACCUGGUAGAAAAAGCAACCAUGAAGCCAGAGAGAGAGCCAAAGGAGGGAAGAGAGCACCAGACGGAGAUGAAAAGGAACCGUGCAGAGAAAUGCGGGGAAAGGAGAAGGCUGCAUGUUCACGAACAAACGCGGCUGGAGGGCAAGAGAGGCAUUCACCAAUAGAGGCUUACGUAUGUUUAUUUUAAAACUCUUCUUUUUAAAAUGUAGGGCUUGAUGAGGAAAAGGAAAAACUCAGGAAAGGGGAGGAGAGAGGGAAUUAUUCAAGUCACAGCAUGACAACCCCAGAAGGGGAGAACACUAGCUAAACCCCAUCAGAUGCUUGGAUGCUUGGGUGCUGGAGGUGGAGCAGCACUGGGCUCGCUCCGGCUGGCUCCGAUUUACUGCUGCUCCAAUUUGCCACUGCCCCAUGGACUGUUGGGCUGGGACCUCGAAGCCCCCCUCCUCGAGGCCACCGGGGCUUCUUUGCUGUCCUUAUCAUCUCCAUCUUUAUGACGAGGCUUGUUAACAAGACCAGUGAGCUGGCCACGCACAUCUAUCUCAGCCGUUCAUGCUCAGCCAAGCAGCGGCCGGCAGGGAGACUGAUGAGGCACUAAUUAAUUGAUUCCUUUGGACAGUAAAAUAUGGCCGCAUCUACACGGAACCCAUCAACUCAUAAACAAUAUCUCUGUCGGCUGUGAGUGCAUUGUCUCUCAAAGAAUUUUUCCAUACACAUGUGCCAGGUAGUUCUGGAUUCUUAGCUGCUAAAGAAAGACCCAAGUGGGACUAAUUUUUAGAUAGCCAAAACAGAGUUAGCUCUGUUUUGUCAGAAAAUGUGUCAGAAAAUGCUUUAAGUUAUUACUACUUUUGAAAAAGCGUUAGGAGUGGGUUUUGUUGAAAAAAACUUGGGUUAUGGGAUAACCUUUCCCGGUUGCUUGUGUAGACCCGGCCAAGGUUCAGGAUGAACUGGAGUUGAGGAGCUGGGCAGGCCAGAAUCCUCUUCUUGGUUGGCUGGGACAGAGUGGGGCUGCUCUGGGAUUUGAGAAGAGCAUAGAAAACAAGAUUCAGCCUUUGCUUCAUGCUGCUCCCUAGACUUGAGUUUUAUAAGUAAUUUUUAAAAAUUUAAACAAACCUUAGCUUUCAAGGAGUUCUUUCAUGCCCAGCACACACCCGGAACCUGUCUGUUACACACCUCACCAGAUUGCUGUGAUUCUCCCUUUCUUAACUGACAGCCCAGAGUAACUCUAUAAUAUAUUUAUAUUAGGUCUAGAAGAACACAUCCUGAGACAGAAGGGGUAAUGUAAUUAUACAAUGCUAAUUCCAUAAGGCGUGAUUAUGCAGUCCGACCCUGCUGCAAAUAGGACUUAGGACUCUAAAUAUAGAUCCAGACUUCAGACAUGCAACAGGAAAAUAGAGAUAGGAGACUGCUGGUAUAAAUAAUACAUGUAGACAUAGAAGGGGUUUUGAAGAGAUAGAAAUAAUAGAAAUACAGAAGGACAGAAAAGAGGUUUAGCUGAUGGAGAAUGUCAUUGCCAAUGCCUGAGCUUCCUCCUGCUACUGUUUUUAAGAUCGCCAGAGAAAUGUGUAUUAUAAAUACAAUAAUAUGUGAACCCAAAGUAUGCACUUCAAUGUAUUUGGUACACAUACAUUAUGUAUAUAAACAUAAUUUACAGAAUAUAUUUUUCACACAUUGGGUUGUUAUGUACUUUGUGUCUAUAUAAUAAUAUGAUGUAUUUUCCAUGAAGUUUUUAAUGUGAAUAUAUUGAUAUCUGGGUUCAUUUUCCAUGUAUUGAUUUUAUAUGCCCUUUGGAGUGUACACACCCAUGUAGCUACAUAGAUGCAGGACUGUACCUUCCCUGUGUAGUAGCAAGUGUACUAUUUAUAUAUGUAAAUGAAUUUUUACAUGUGAUGGGUAUAUAUGCUAUAUGCAGUCUUCUCCCCAGAGGUUGCAUUCCCAUACAAUAAAGUGCCUCUGUAUGUAUAUUUUCUAGAGAAAUAUAUUUUCCAUGCCCAGAAUGUACAUGUAAUAGAGAUCUCUGUGCAUUUUAGACCGUUUCAAUAUAUUGGU